rnacentral:rRNA from 1 species
UCCGGAGGAUGCGAUCGUUAUCCGGAUUCAUUGGGUUUAAAGGGUGCGUAGGCGGACUAAUAAGUCAGUGGUGAAAUUUUGCAGCUUAACUGUAAACGUGCCGUUGAUACUGUUAGUCUUGAGUAUGGUCAAGGUAGGCGGAAUGUGUAAUGUAGCGGUGAAAUGCUUAGAUAUUACACAGAACACCGAUUGCGAAGGCAGCUUACUGGGCCACCACUGACGCUGAUGCACGAAAGCGUGGGGAGAGAACAGG